UCACUCACACCCCCCGCGUGACGCAGACACACCCCGAGGGCAGCCCGCGCCUCCCCCCAAGACAGAGCCCGGCCUGAGGAGGGGCGCUAGGCCCGCCGCCCGCCCUGCUUCCUCCAAUGUAGGUUUCCUUGAACACUCCUCUGAAGCAGCUGGGAUGGGCCACGAUGGUGAUCUAUAAUUGGUAUGAGAGAAGAUGCUCAACAGAGGUCUGCUUCCUUCAGUGUCUCAGCUCCAAAUGCCUUCGAGUUACACAACAAGCCUCUGCAUUACAUCACACGAGGCUCUUGAAAGGUCAUGCAUCUUCCGUUCCCAAUCAAACUUCAGAACACCAAAGAAUAAGCAACCUUUAUAGAACAGAAUUAUAAAUACUCAUAACCAGCCUACAAACUAAUCUGACUAACAAUGUUGAAUUAGCCUAUCGGGCACCCAUCAGGGAUUUCAGAACCUGUUCUCAAGAAACAGAAAGUCCAUUUGUUUUGCCAUGUCCUGGGCCUCAUCUCUCCUCAUCUGCUGUGACUGUUGCCUUCUUGAGGCCUUCUUGAGCAAAAAACAGCCCAUGCAAUUAUCUUUAUUCUCUCACUUCUGGAAGCGAUAGAAGGUGUUACCAAUUCCUCUCCCUGGGGUGCCCGUGGGCCACUUCUUGGACUAGACAGCCCGCCGUUCUUUUCCAUCAUAAAGAGUCCUUUGUUCUGGUGUCUAACAGCAUUUGGAAAUGAUUUCAAUUUCAAACCCAAUUAUGAGGCAUUGCAUGUAAUCAGUCAGGUAGGGAAUGAAAAAUAAAAGGAAAUGAAUGAACUGCAAAUUUUUAUCAAGAUGGUCAAGGCUACUUUAGCCACCCGUUUACCAGGAAGGAUCGGAUGCUCCUGCUGAUACCGCUCUGCUCUAGAGAUGCUACAAAACACUCCAGCUGAAUAUAGGUAGCCAGAGCUGGAUGGCCUCCUUGUUUCUAGGCACUCCUAGAUAUUAUAGUUGGAAAGUCACAUAUCAUCCCAGAAGAGCCUUAUACUCUGUAUACAAGGCCGUUGGAUGUUGGUGAAAAGGAGGCAUGGGUUGCAAUGUUUUCAGUAUACCUCUGACACCCAUACCUUUGUAUCCAUAGUCAAUUCCUUUUGAUUUAUGAUUUUGUGCAAUGUUUACUUCCUGAGAUGAUGGCUCAGAGCAUUAUAUCAGCACCUAACAAUGCAUUUUAGAAAUCUGAAAAAGCAACUAAAAAAGUGUCUCAUCACAUCCAGGCAGUGCUGAUGAAUGCCUGAUCUGUGCUCUGGGCAAGGCAGAUGUGAAAACGUAAAUUAGUUGCCUGAAGCUUGAUACAUGAUUAGGCAGAGGUGAUGCUGGUGUAUGGGGAAAGCAGCCAGAAGAAAUGGCAAGGAUUCCCUCUGCCCCUACCAUUUAUAAGGUAUAACCUCAUUUCAUUAGUACCUAGAACAGACCUCAUGGGAUCAGGAGAAAAGUUCAUUAAAAAAGAAGACUUUUUAUAAAAAUGGAGGACAUAACAUGGAAGACAAAUGAUUUAUGCUGUUAGGAUUUUUUAAAGUGGGGUUUACCUGAGGAGGGUUUGUUACAACAACCUCAUACUGUCUACGAUCCCAUUACCUUCUGAACUGAGUGCCUCACAAUUUACCUUCACAGCACCUCUGGGGGGCAGGGACACACAAAGAGGUGAAGGAACUUGCCUGAGGUCAUUUUGAAGUCUAAAGUGGAGUAAGCCAUUGAACUUGGAUUCCACCCCCAGAGAGAUGGUGGAAGCUCCAUCCUUGGAGGUUUUCAAAACCUGGCUAGACAAAGCUUCGGCUGGGAUGAUCUAGUUAGGGUUGGUCCUGCUUUGAACUAGAUGUGACCUGCUACGGUCCCUUCCAACCCUCAUUUCUAUGAAUCUAUGAUAAGAGGUUAUGCCUCUUAUCAUCCGGUAAAUGGAUGAUGGAAUAGAAUUGGGCGGCUUGUUUAUUGAACUAUGCAUUUCACCAAAGGCAUGUGACUGAAGGUGUCCAGGAUAAGCACUGACUGGCUACUGAUUUCCAGAUGGUUUAGGCUUGUGGUUUUGACUUAUACAAUCAUAAAAAUAAAAAAGCUGGUCUUCUUGAGGAACCACCUUUCAAAAUACAUAUGUAAUAUAUUUCUGAUCUUGUUCAUUUUCUGUAUCAGGUAGUGAGAUGGCAAAGAUUUUUAUGGCACCUUGGUCUGUUUGGAUCUAAAAUGAGUGACACAAGUGGAAGUUAACAGCAAACCGGAAGUACAGAGUAAAGUAGUAGCAAUAAAUAGAAAGAAUGUAUUCUUAGGAACUACAGCAUUAGUUUAGAAGACACGUGUUGUGAGGUCUACUCUUUGCUGACUCAUUUUGUGCCCAUUGGCAAGUCACCUAACUUUUGUAUACCUGGUUUACUGCAGCUAAGAAAAAAUACCUGUUUUAAAUGUCUGAGCAUAAGUAUCCUAGAUGAAACAUGCUAUAAAAUUUGUAAGCUUUAUAAAGAUGAAUUAUUCUACUUAUAAAUGAGGAAAUAAAUACUCACAUACCUUG